UNAAAGAGAUAGGAGUCGAACCUA
rnacentral:tRNA from 1 species